UACGUAGGGUGCGAGCGUUUGUCCGGAAUUAUUGGGCGUAAAGGGCUCGUAGGCGGUUUGUCGCGUCGGGAGUGAAAACCUCGGGCUUAACUCGGGGCUUGCUUUCGAUACGGGCAGACUAGAGGUAUGCAGGGGAGACUGGAAUUCCUGGUGUAGCGGUGAAAUGCGCAGAUAUCAGGAGGAACACCGAUGGCGAAGGCAGGUCUCUGGGCAUUAACUGACGCUGAGGAGCGAAAGCAUGGGGAGCGAACAGG
rnacentral:rRNA from 1 species